CCCUGCCAUUUGUACACACCGCCCGUCGCUACUACCGAUUGAAUGUUUUAGUGAGCCCUUCGGAUUGGCGCUCUAGAGGCGGCAACGCCUUCUGAGUGCUGAAAAGUUGUGCAAACUUGAGCAUUUAGAGGAAG
rnacentral:rRNA from 1 species